rnacentral:rRNA from 1 species
AGCAGCCGCGGUAAUUCCAGCUCCAAUAGCGUAUAUUAAAGUUGUUGCAGUUAAAAAGCUCGUAGUUGAAUUUCGGGGUCAGUAGAUUGGUCGUGCCACUGGUAUGUACUGGUCUCACUGGCUCCUCCUUCCUGAUGAACCGUAAUGCCAUUAAUUUGGUGUUGCGGGGAGACUGGACUGUUACUUUGAAAAAAUUAGAGUGUUUAAAGCAGGCUAACGCUUGAAUACAUUAGCAUGGAAUAAUGAAAUAGGACGUUCGAUCUUACUUUGUUUGGUCGUUUCUAAGGAUUUGACGUAAUGAUUAAUAGGGAUAGUUGGGGGCAUUAGUAUUCAAUUGUCAGAGGUGAAAUUCUUGGAUUUAUUGAAGACUAACUACUGCGAAAGCAUUUGCCAAGGAUGUUUUCAUUAAUCAAGAACGAAAGUUAGGGGAUCGAAGACGAUCAGAUACCGUCGUAGUCUUAACCAUAAACUAUGCCGACUAGGGAUCGGAUGAUGUUAAUUUUUUAAUGA